rnacentral:rRNA from 1 species
GAUGAACGCUAGCUACAGGCUUAACACAUGCAAGUCGAGGGGCAGCAUGAACUUAGCUUGCUAAGUUUGAUGGCGACCGGCGCACGGGUGAGUAACACGUAUCCAACCUUCCGUUUACUCAGGGAUAGCCUUUCGAAAGAAAGAUUAAUACCUGAUAGUAUGGUGAGAUUGCAUGAUAGCACCAUUAAAGAUUUAUUGGUAAACGAUGGGGAUGCGUUCCAUUAGGUAGUAGGCGGGGUAACGGCCCACCUAGCCGACGAUGGAUAGGGGUUCUGAGAGGAAGGUCCCCCACAUUGGAACUGAGACACGGUCCAAACUCCUACGGGAGGCAGCAGUGAGGAAUAUUGGUCAAUGGGCGAGAGCCUGAACCAGCCAAGUAGCGUGAAGGAUGAAGGUCCUACGGAUUGUAAACUUCUUUAUACGGGAAUAAAGUAUCCUACGUGUAGGAUUUUGUACGUACCGUAUGAAUAAGCAUCGGCUAAACUCCGUG